GGGCCGGUAGUUCAGCUUGGCAUGAAUGACGACCGCGUGGUUGUCAGUGCAUACGCCGCCUUCGCACGCCCAGCCCGGAAGAGGCGGAAGCCGCGGGUUCAAAUCCCGCCCGGUCCA
rnacentral:tRNA from 1 species